GGGAUUACCUCAGUAACGGCGAGUGAAGCGGUAAAAGCUCAAAUUUGAAGUCUGGCUCUUUUAGAGUCCGAAUUGUAAUUUGUAGAAGAUGCUUCGGGUGUGGUUCCGGUCUAAGUUCCUUGGAACAGGACGUCAUAGAGGGUGAGAAUCCCGUAUGUGACUGGAUACCUAUGCUCAUGUGAAGCUCUUUCGACGAGUCGAGUUGUUUGGGAAUGCAGCUCACAAUGGGAGGUAUAUUUCUUCUAAAGCUAAAUAUUGGCCAGAGACCGAUAGCGCACAAGUAGAGUGAUCGAAAGAUGAAAAGCACUUUGGAAAGAGAGUUAAACAGUACGUGAAAUUGUUGAAAGGGAAGCGCUUGCAAUCAGACUUGCACUUGGUGUUCAUCAGGGUCUCGUACCCUGUGUACUUCAUCAAGUUCAGGCCAGCAUCAGUUUGAGUGGUUAGAUAAAGGCUUAGAGAAUGUGGCCCUCUUCGGGGGGUGUUAUAGCUCUAGGUGCAAUGUAGCCUACUUGGACUGAGGACCGCGCUUCGGCUAGGAUGCUGGCGUAAUGGUUGUAAKCGACCCGUCUUGAAACACGGACCAAGGAGUGUACCUAAUAUGCGAGUGUUUGGGUGUUAAACCCAUACGCGUAAUGAAAGUGAACGCUGGUGAGAACCCUUAAGGGUGCAUCAUCGACCGAUCUUGAUGUCUUCGGAUGGAUUUGAGUAAGAGCAUAUUGGGUGCGACCCGAAAGAUGGUGAUCUAUACGUGAAUAGGGUGAAGCCAGAGGAAACUCUGGUGGAGGCUCGCASCGGUUMUGACGUGCAAAUCGAUCGUCAAAUUUGCGUAUAGGG
rnacentral:rRNA from 1 species